AGUGAACGCUGGCGGUAGGCCUAACACAUGCAAGUCGAACGGCAGCACAGUAAGAGCUUGCUCUUACGGGUGGCGAGUGGCGGACGGGUGAGGAAUACAUCGGAAUCUACUUUUUCGUGGGGGAUAACGUAGGGAAACUUACGCUAAUACCGCAUACGACCUACGGGUGAAAGCAUGGGAUCUUCGGACCUUGCGCGAUUGAAUGAGCCGAUGUCGGAUUAGCUAGUUGGCGGGGUAAAGGCCCACCAAGGCGACGAUCCGUAGCUGGUCUGAGAGGAUGAUCAGACACACUGGAACUGAGACACGGUCCAGACUCCUACGGGAGGCAGCAGUGGGGAAUAUUGGACAAUGGGCGAAAGCCUGAUCCAGCCAUACCGCGUGGGUGAAGAAGGCCUUCGGGUUGUAAAGCCCUUUUGUUGGGAAAGAAAAGCAGCAGGUUAAUACCCCGCUGUUCUGACGGUACCCAAAGAAUAAGCACCGGCUAACUUCGUG
rnacentral:rRNA from 1 species